rnacentral:rRNA from 1 species
UACGGGGGGGGCGAGCGUUGUCCGAAGUUACUGGGCGUAAAGCGUGCGCAGGCGGUUAUGUAAGACAGGUGUGAAAUCCCCGGGCUUAACCUGGGAACUGCAUUUGUGACUGCAUAGCUAGAGUACGGUAGAAGGGGAUGGAAUUCCGCGUGUAGCAGUGAAAUGCGUAGAUAUGCGGAGGAACACCGAUGGCGAAGGCAAUCCCCUGGACCUGUACUGACGCUCAUGCACGAAAGCGUGGGGAGCAAACAGG